GACGAACGCUGGCGGCGUGCCUAAUACAUGCAAGUAGGACGCAGUUGCGAACGGGUGAGUAACGCGUAGGUAACUGCCUAUUAGAGGGGGAUAACUAUUGGAAACGAUAGCUAAUACCGCAUACUAGUAGAUGGACCUGCGUUGUAUUAGCUAGUAGGUAGGGUAAUGGCCUACCUAGGCGACGAUACAUAGCCGACCCGAGAGGGUGAUGGGACACACUGGGACGGCGACACGGCCCAUACUCCUUGGGGAGGGAGCAGUAGGGAAGCUUCGGCAAUGGGGGGAACCCGGACCGAGCAACGCCGCGGGAGUGAAGAAGGUUUUCGGAGCGUAAAGCUCUGUUGUUAAGGAAGCGGUACUUAACCAGAAAGGGACGGCUAACUACGGGCCAGCAGCCGCGGUAAUUC
rnacentral:rRNA from 1 species